CACCUUGGCCUCUCAACUGCUAGGAUUACAGGUGUCAGCCACCACACCCAGCCUAGUGCAUUGGUUUUUUUCAGGGCAGUGGGCAAAACGAACCAGUCGGGCUAUAACUUGACCUACAGAGGAGAGGGAUCACAGAGCUCUUUGAGGAUGCUGGGGCCCUCUCACAAAUUUAUUUCUCAUAGAACGAGCCAGCAUCUCCCUAUGUUGCCCAGGCUGGACUCGAACCUCUGAGCUGAAGUGAUCCUCCCCACUCGGUCUCCCAAAGUGCUGGGAUUACAGGCAUGAGCACUGUGCCUGUUCAAACAACUAAAUAAACCAUGUCUAAAGAAUGAAAAA